AUUGAACGCUGGCGGCAGGCCUAACACAUGCAAGUCGAACGGUAGCACAGAGAGCUUGCUCUCGGGUGACGAGUGGCGGACGGGUGAGUAAUGUCUGGGAAACUGCCCGAUGGAGGGGGAUAACUACUGGAAACGGUAGCUAAUACCGCAUAACGUCGCAAGACCAAAGUGGGGGACCUUCGGGCCUCACACCAUCGGAUGUGCCCAGAUGGGAUUAGCUAGUAGGUGGGAUAAUGGCUCACCUAGGCGACGAUCCCUAGCUGGUCUGAGAGGAUGACCAGCCACACUGGAACUGAGACACGGUCCAGACUCCUACGGGAGGCAGCAGUGGGGAAUAUUGCACAAUGGGCGCAAGCCUGAUGCAGCCAUGCCGCGUGUAUGAAGAAGGCCUUCGGGUUGUAAAGUACUUUCAGCGGGGAGGAAGGCGGUGAAGUUAAUAGCUUCACCGAUUGACGUUACCCGCAGAAGAAGCACCGGCUAACUCCGUGCCAGCCGCCGCUGUAA
rnacentral:rRNA from 1 species